rnacentral:rRNA from 1 species
UACGGAGGGGGCUAGCGUUGUUCGGAAUUACUGGGCGUAAAGCGCGCGUAGGCGGACCUGCAAGUCGGGGGUGAAAGCCCGAGGCUCAACCUCGGAACUGCCUUCGAUACUGGAGAGCUCGAGUCCGGGAGAGGUGAGUGGAACUGGGAGUGUAGAGGUGAAAUUCGUAGAUAUUCGGAGGAACACCAGUGGCGAAGGCGGCUCACUGGUCCAUUACUGACGCUGAGGUGCGAAAGCGUGGGGAGCAAACAGG